rnacentral:rRNA from 1 species
GAUAAACGCUAGCGGCAGGCUUAACACAUGCAAGUCGAGGGGCAGCAUAGAUUGUAGCAAUACAAUUGGUGGCGACCGGCGCACGGGUGCGUAACGCGUAUGCAACCUACCCGUCACAGGGGGAUAAUCCGGAGAAAUCUGGUCUAAUACCCCAUAACAUAUGGAUCGGCAUCGGUUCAUGUUGACAUUUUCGGAGGUGACGGAUGGGCAUGCGUAGCAUUAGCUUGUUGGUGAGGUAACGGCUCACCAAGGCGCCGAUGCUUAGGGGGACUGAGAGGUUUUCCCCCCACACUGGUACUGAGACACGGACCAGACUCCUACGGGAGGCAGCAGUGAGGAAUAUUGGUCAAUGGGCGCAAGCCUGAACCAGCCAUGCCGCGUGCAGGAUGACGGCUCUAUGAGUUGUAAACUGCUUUUGUACGAGGGUAAAGUGGGUUACGUGUAACCUUUUGAAAGUAUCGUACGAAUAAGGAUCGGCUAACUCCGUGCCAGCCGCCGCAGUAA